AUUGAACGCUGGCGGCAGCUUUAAUACAUGCAAGUCGAGCGAGAAAGUUUCUUCGGAAAUGAGUAAAGCGGCGAACGGGUGAGUAACGCGUAGGAAUCUACCAUUCAGCGGGGGAUAGCUCGAGGAAACUCGAAUUAAUACCGCAUACACCCUACGGGGGAAAGAAGGCCUCUCCUUGGAAGCUUUCACUGUUUGAUGAGCCUGCGUGAGAUUAGUUUGUUGGUGAGGUAAUGGCUCACCAAGACUACGAUCUCUAGCUGGUCUGAGAGGACGAUCAGCCACACUGGGACUGAGACACGGCCCAGACUCCUACGGGAGGCAGCAGUAGAGAAUAUUGGACAAUGGGGGCAACCCUGAUCCAGGCAUGCCGCGUGUGUGAAGAAGGCCUUAGGGUUGUAAAGCACUUUAGGUAAGGAAGAAAAGUUAAUAGUUAAUACCUGUUGACCGUGACAUUACUUACAGAAUAAGGACCGGCUAACUCCG
rnacentral:rRNA from 1 species